rnacentral:ncRNA from 12 species
GUGUUGUUUGGAAGGAGAGCAAGUUAGCACUCCCCUAGACAAGGAUGGAACACAUAAAUGGUCGGAACAGGCACAGACAAGUUCCGACCGCCAGUUUUU